CACGUAGGGUGCGAGCGUUGUCCGGAAUUAUUGGGCGUAAAGAGCUCGUAGGCGGUGUGUCGCGUCGGCCGUGAAAACCUGCAGCUUAACUGUGGGCGUGCGGUCGAUACGGGCAUCACUGGAGUUCGGCAGGGGAGACUGGAAUUCCUGGUGUAGCGGUGAAAUGCGCAGAUAUCAGGAGGAACACCGGUGGCGAAGGCGGGUCGCUGGGCCGAUACUGACGCUGAGGAGCGAAAGCGUGGGGAGCAAACAGG
rnacentral:rRNA from 1 species